rnacentral:lncRNA from 1 species
GCUUCUCUCCCUUUUUCUCAAGUGAAGCCUUGGUAUUUAUAGACUGAAUUUCAUGGCUUUGUGGGCUCAAAUGAGAGAGACCCAAGUCCAAAAUUUUUUGUUAUAUUUUAUUUAUUAAUUUAUUUAUUUUUCGUUUUUUUUUCGUUUUUUUUUUUAAAAUAAAGUUUCUUGGAUCUAAUUCUGAUUGACAUGAUGAAAUGCAAUGUAUUUAAUGUUAAAUGACCUAAAAAUGAAUGCAUGCAUGAGGUGUA